AGCAACGAGAAACCAGAACACAUUUGUGCACCUUGUCACAGGACAGCUGAAAGAAGAGAAGAAGAGGAUAUUCUGCAGCAGCUAUCACCUUCACCAUGAAGACACUGACUGUGUUUGCACUGGUUUGUGUCAUUAUGACU